AUCAGCCACAUGCAGACUUUAUGCAGGAGUUGGAGAUAAAGAUAAACAAAAUAUAGCCUCUGCUUUUAAAGAAUUCCUAAUGUAGUGAAGAGGAGAUCUUCAAGGACCACAAAAGUGUAGGGACCCAACUCAUGGUUAACUGCCUCAGUGAAGCUAUCUCUGAGAUCCUCAGCCAAAAUUACUAUUUGCAAUCCUCUAAAACAGUGGUUCUCAAAGUGUAGUCACCAGACCAACAGCAGCGACAAUACCUGCGCUCUUAUUGGAGAUUCAAA